rnacentral:lncRNA from 1 species
CCCUGAGGGUGACAGGGAGGAGAAGGGGUUGUGUUGCCUCCACACAGUGGGACAAAGGCUGACCACGUCCCAGGUCCCAUCCUCCCGUCUGCAAGUUUAGGGAAUCUCUGCUCCCAGCUGGUGUUGAUCCCGUUGUCACGACCACCCCAUGCAGCUGCCCCCCAGCAGCAAUCCGACUAAUUUAGCUCUUCGCCUGGGUCUGGGAGCUGGUGGAGCGGUAGAGCCUUCUGGGCCCUUCCUGGUAUUUUCCAGGUACACAGGCUUCCCCGGUGGCUCACUUGGUUAAGAAUUUGCCUGCAAUGCAGAAGACCCAUGUUCAACCCCUGGGUUGGGAAGGUCCCGUGGAGAAGGGAAUGGCAACCCACUCCAGUAUUCUUGCCUGGAGAAUUCCAUGGACAGGGAGCUGGCAGGCUACAGUCCAUGGGGUCAUAAAGAGUCAGACACCGCUGAGUGACUAACACUCCAGGUACACAGUGAGUAGGACCAGCAGGUGGCGCCAGGCUCCCGUGGUCACAGCUGGAAGGGUGAAGCUGCUUCAGCGCUGCCCAAGUGACCCGUGGCAAGCUCUUCCUCCGGAGCUGGGUCUCCGGCUGGGUCCAAGGCCUAGCCCUCGUGCAGUUGACCCCAGCUCUUUCGCCGCAGGUGUACGCGGCCUCCGCGCGCCUCAGUAUCCAGGAAGAGCAGGGCGCGCCGGGAAGGCGUAGAAACUACGACUCCCAGGAGGCAUUGCGGAGGAGGGCGUUCACCACGGGCCAAUGAAGGCGAAGGAGCGGGCGCGCGCGGCGGGCCCAUUGGUUGGCGGUGCGAGGGCGGGGAUCCGGGAGGCGCGCUCUGGGUCGAUUGGCUGGGGAGGCGGGGGCGGGGCUCCAGAGGGCGCGCGCUUUUGUGGCGGUCAUGGAGGAAACCGGAGCCGUCUUCCGGAAAGAGCUGGUGAGCAAACUGCUGCACUUGCACUUUAAAGACAAGAAGACCAAGGUGUGAGCCCGAGGCAGGGGUGGUGUUGGGACCCUGCGCUGCAGCUCUGCAGGAGCCAGGGCCUUGGGGAGGCUGGGUGGACCAGACAGAGGCGGAGGUCACCAGCCUGAGCCUGAGCU